rnacentral:rRNA from 1 species
GAGCGGAUGACGGGAGCUUGCUUCUUGAUUCAGCGGCGGACGGGUGAGUAAUGCCUAGGAAUCUGCCUGGUAGUGGGGGACAACGUUUCGAAAGGAACGCUAAUACCGCAUACGUCCUACGGGAGAAAGCAGGGGACCUUCGGGCCUUGCGCUAUCAGAUGAGCCUAGGUCGGAUUAGCUAGUUGGUGGGGUAAUGGCUCACCAAGGCGACGAUCCGUAACUGGUCUGAGAGGAUGAUCAGUCACACUGGAACUGAGACACGGUCCAGACUCCUACGGGAGGCAGCAGUGGGGAAUAUUGGACAAUGGGCGAAAGCCUGAUCCAGCCAUGCCGCGUGUGUGAAGAAGGUCUUCGGAUUGUAAAGCACUUUAAGUUGGGAGGAAGGGCAGUAAGUUAAUACCUUGCUGUUUUGACGUUACCGACAGAAUAAGCACCGGCUAACUCUGUG